CUCCAACAUCUCCCCGAGGGCCAGGCAGCAGCAGCUGAGUCUCUUCUCGACUUGAGGAAAACUGUCUAGCACCUCACCAUGGGGCAGGACCGCAACAACCGUUGCCAAAACAACUCCCUGCAUUUAACAUGCGGAGAGUUACUCAAGGAACGGCAGUCCCUCCUCUUCUCCCUCCACCCCCGACAUCAACCCUGAGCCUGCGGCCAACAGAGGAGCCUUCUUCAAUCCCCGCCAUCGGACCAACAUGGCGAGGGGGAAGAAUGAAUGAGUCCAUUCCCUGCUCUGCGGCUGAAGUCCACAUCCUGAACCUGCUGGAGACAAUUAAACAGCAACAAGACCAGCUCGUGGCAAAGGUCAACUACCUCUGCAGCAGGAUGAACAGCACCCCGGGGCCAGACGUUGAGAUGCCUGACAGUAUUAAUCUCCCCUUGGAACACCUGGAGGCAGUGGAGGCAUUUGAGGUGUUUUUAAAAGAACCCUCAAACUACCCAGCUCGACAAAGAGUAAUUGCUUCUUUGGCCACAAUUGGAGGCCAGGAUUUGAAGAGGGUGACUUGGAACAUUCUUGGCCGGCUAUACACAGACGACGUGUCCCACCAAAUCAACUGGAAAGCCUCCUGAGUGGUGAUUGCGGACACCUGCAUGAAGCUGUGGGUGCAGCCUAUAUAAGUGGAUCCUCCCUCCGGCUCUCUCGCUCUACUUCCUGACAGGAUCCCAGCUUUUGUCUAUGUUGUACAUCUUCCUGGUUGUAAAUAAACACCUUUUUUGCAUCAUAUUCAGUAUGGUGUCCGUUUAUGUGUUGUGACCUUGAGCCGGUCGUAACAGCCACGUUGAGCACACUCUUUAUUUCGGAUUCAUUGAUAUAUAUCUAUAUGAUGCUACAACUAACACAGAAAUGAGAGGAGAAAUCGUCACAAGAAGAUCUGUGCUGAACUGAUUUGGUCUGCUUGUCUUGUUCAGCGAUUGGGCGCAAACCCUUCAAAUGCAUUGGCUGAGAGAAAAGAAGGGUGGAGAUUAUUAGCAUACUAGAGAGACGCCGUAUUUUACGCGCGUUGUGAUGUGCACGA
rnacentral:lncRNA from 1 species